CAACACUCUCUUCAGUCUUCUCCAUUUCAACCAAAUUAAGCUUAUCUACCGAUUUCUCUGGAAUUUAGGUUUCAGAAUUUCUUUUAUUUAUUUAUUUAUUUAUUUAUUUAUUUAUUUAUGGGCUUAAACAACAACAACAACAAACGUAAGCUCAAUGAUUUCGCCGCCGAUCAAAUGGAAGUUUCAGUUCCUUCCGCCGUCAGGAUGAGAAAAGACCAAAAUCUCCCUCCAACACAUAUUCAGUUUUUUGUACGUUUGUUUCCCGGCGGCAAAACGCUGGUAAUUCAAGCCGAUUGUAAUGACUCAGUAGAAUCAGUUCACGAAAAAAUCAUGUUAAUCACCGGAAUACCGGCGGUGGAGCAGCGGUUAAUCUACCGGGGAAAGCAGCUUCAUCAAUGGGAUCAAACGUUAUCGGAUUGUGGUAUUCAAAAGGAUGCCAGCUUGGAACUUGUAGGCCGAAUUCGGAGCACAGGCCAUCCUCAGGCGUGGCAGCUCAUGAAUGACUUAAUUUCACUAAUCUCCGGUAUUUUGAAAGGCAAUUAUCCUGCUGUUAAUUCGAACUCGUAUCAUAUAAUAAAAAUGCUUAUACAUUUUUUAACUAUGACUCCUAAGGAUAGUACUGAAAAAGCAUAUGAGCACAUCCAAAUCUUCAUUUCCUCGUCUGCUCCUGCAGCUCUGGUAAUGCUUUAUAUGUCUUCAAAUUAUGCUAACAAAAAUAGUGCUGAUGAAUCCGUUCGUUCAUUUAUUGAUUCAUUUAAGAGUUUGUUGCCUGUACCUGUGUACAAUGGAUGUGUUCCUAUAGUGUUAGAGUUUUGUAAACUUCUCAGAGGAGCUGUUGGGAUUGAUGAUCGUUUGUAUAAUAAAUGUCGGAGUAGUUUAGGGGCUAUAGUAGAGUCCACUGGGAUCGCGAGGUGCAAGGCUGAAACUAAGAAGUUGUUAGCAUUGCAAGAUGUUUUUCCGUUUGUUCGUGAGGUAGCAAGUAAGUUAUCUUAUGAUUUGGAAUUGACAAUGGGAUCAACUAAGCUUAUAGGGUUAUCAUUUAGCAUUGUGCGUGAUUUUGCUGUGUUUAUGCUUCCGGUGAAGAAGGUAAUACGGUGGCAAGUACCAUUUCGCUUUCCAAUAACUUUCCCGUUGAAAGAGGAUGACACCAGUGAAGGAGUGUAUUACAAAGAGUAUAUUGAAUGUUUGCAUCAUAUUUUCUAUGAUUUGCUCGAUAAAAUGGAGAUGUGUUUAAGGGAAUUGGAAGACCGGUUGGGUUUGAAAGAGAAUGGAAAAGGCAAACCUAUUGCACCCUGGUGGUCUCAGUAUCUUGUAAUUCUGAAGGAGUUAAAUAGUAUAUCAAAACUGUAUAAGGGCUUGGAGAAGGUAUUUUGGCAGAAGAUGAGGCAAAUAAAGCUUUCAUUGUGCUUUUUGAUAGUUUCAUUUGCAAAAAAGUCUGAUGAUUAUGGUUGGCUUCUUGAGCACAAGGAGGUAACCAAUUUUGAGUUGAGGAGGCAUUUGGCAAUGAUGAUGCUUCCGGAAGUUAGAGACGAAAACGAGGCGAUGCAUGAGAUGCUCAUUGACAGGUCCCAGUUGUUGGAAGAAUCAUUCGAGUACAUUGGACAAGCUGAUUCCAAAUUGCUACGAGGCGGUUUAUUUAUGGAAUUCAAACAUGAAGAAGCUACUGGUCCUGGUGUAUUGAGGGAGUGGUUUUUAUUGGUAUGUCAAGCGAUCUUCAACCCUCAAAAUGCUCUCUACGUUGCUUGCCCAAAUGAUCGUAGAAGGUUUUUCCCAAAUCCAGCAUCUAAGGUGGACCCGUUACACCUUGAGUAUUUCCGCUUCUCUGGUAGGAUGAUUGCAUUGGCUUUAAUGCAUAAAAUUCAAGUCGGUGUUGUGCUUGGUCGUGUGUUCUUUUUGUUAUUGGCUGGAAAGAAUAUUUCAUUGGAAGACAUUAGGGAUGCAGAUCCAUACUUAUACAGUAGCUGCAAGCAGAUGCUGGAGAUGGAUCCAGAGAUGGUGGAUGAAGAUACACUGGGCUUGACAUUUGUUUGUGAAUUUGAAGAGUUGGGGUCCAGGAAAGUGAUUGAGCUUUGUCCCAAUGGGAAAGAUACUGUUGUGAACAGUAAGAAUAGGAUAAAGUAUGUUAAUCUUCUUAUUCGACAUCGUUUUGUCUCGUCAAUUGCUGAGCAGGUAGCCCAGUUUUCUAGAGGCUUUGCUGAUAUAACUACCUCAAGGAUCCAAAAGUCCUUUUUUCGGUGUUUAAAUCUUGAAGAUCUUGACUUGAUGCUUGAUGGGAGUGGAAGUGCUGUUUCUAUUGAAGAUUGGAAAGCACAUACAGAUUACAUUGGCUACAAAGAAAGUGAUCCUCAAAUAUCAUGGUUCUGGAAGAUAGUUGCGAGUAUGUCUGCUGAGCAGAGAAAGGUGCUCCUUUUCUUUUGGACUUCAAUUAAGCAUCUGCCUCUAGAGGGUUUUGGUGGUUUGGCUUCUAGACUUCACAUCUACAAAACCUCGGAGUCCUAUGAUCACUUGCCUUCUGCGAAAACAUGCUUCUACCGCAUAUGCUUUCCUCCUUAUAAAUCCAUGGCCAUAAUGCAAGAUCGACUCUGCAUAAUCACCCAAGAGCAUGUUGGUUGCAGCUUUGGUACCCGGUGACAUAUGCAAAUUUUGAGAUUGAAAGUGCACAUAAGAUAUGUAAUCAGCUUGUACAUGAAGUAGGAUAUGCCUACCUGGGAAACGACGGCCUUCCUUACAAGUUCUUGCUUGAUCAAAAAUAUGACAUGCGACACCAUAGCUUUGCGGACUUUAUGAGAUCUAACUUUCACCGCGACAUUAGUGACUCAGGUCUGUGCUUUUCGCAAGCUUUUUUUAUAACGAGAGAAUAACGGGUACAAAAGAUUGGCCUGCCCCGAAAAGCUGAGUUUUUUUCAUCCCCUUGUGGUUGGCAUGCAACAGCCUUCUUGGUUGUAUAUUAACAGUAAAUGAUCCAAUUUUUGAUGAUCAGAUAGCUAACAUCGAGAGAAUGAAAGCAUUAACCCAUUGAUAAAAACAACCAAAAAAGAUAUGACCCUUUUAUUAUAAAAAACUAGAGAUCAAAUCUCAUAUCAUCUUAAUCAAACCAUAGCAAACUGAACCCUGGACAAGAUAACAAACAUAGCUUAAAAAACUAUGGAGUAUCCACCCGACCACCUAGACCUAGGCAUAUGCUAAAAAUAACACAUGCCCUCACUGUAACCAUAAUAAUAUAGUAGUAAUAAUAGUAGUAAAUAAAAUACUAAGAAACAGAAUAAA